UAUAGUGAUUGGGUCAACCAUAGUGAGUCUUCCUAAGGUGUGAUUGAUACUGAGCUUCCAGAACCGCGGAGGAAACCAAGUAAAGUUUAUCGGUUAUCUCUGAUGACAGUUUUCGAUAAGAUAUGAACGAAACGGAUUCGCGUACGGAAAACGAUAUCUACGUUUCAAGGGUUCCGGAUAGAAUCGGAGCAGUUUGAGUGCGAAAAUAACCCACCAAGGAGGCUUUUGUCGAGAACCAUUUAAGCUCGUCGCGAAAAAGCAAUGCGAAGUAACAAUCGAAACGCUUCAUGCAUUGUAUGCGUGGAUUUGAAACUCUGACAAACGCUACUUUCUUUACACAUUUGGUACAAGCCCAGUUCUUGCGCAUAUACUAUACAUAUACUAAAUCCAUUCUUCCCUGGGCUGUGAUUUAAAAUAUGCAUCGCGACACAGCAGAAACUAUUUGUACAUUUGAGAAGGGGGAAUAUAUGAGAGCAGCGUAACAUCAGUUCCGGACAUCCUCGCCAAUCCAGAAAUUGAGGAGACAAUACUAGGUGCGAAAGAGGUGGGUGGAGUUUGGCACGGGACCAAAGGAACCGGAGAUAAAACCGUGGAGCGUUCAACAUUACAUCAAGCCGGUGUCAGGUCCAUCAUCGCAUUAAGUUCACGGAGCGAUCAAGUUAGCAUUUAUACCGCGUUCACGGGGGGCUAUUAGGUUCGCCAGGUUAUCCGUUGGAGCAUGUUCGUGUUGCUGUAGCUAUAAACGACUAGGGCGAAGCUCGGAAAUACGUUCCAUUGUUUUAUAAUAGAAAUGUUGACGUGAAAGCGGAGCUAUGAUUGCUAGAUGAUCCAUAGAAUAGUGGAGCCGGUUACCGUUGUGUGACCAAUUACCGUGCUUUUGCUUUGUUUCCUAGCAUAAUUAACUUUACAUUUGCGCGAUAAGACAUGUUAUAUUAUCGUAUUCAAAAGUAAACAGAAUGAAAGAAUUAAAA